GAUGUGAUGGAGCGCUUUUUCGAAUAAGAAUGGUCCGUAUUAGGCUCUGUUGGCAGGGAUAAACCCAAAUCUAAUAGAGAACCAAAUGAAGUCUGUCUCAUCUGAUUAUAGUCGCUUCCAAAAUGAAGAGAUUUGCUUUCAUCUAAAACCAUGCUGGCAGUAACUUCUGGCUUUGUAAUUGCUAGGCGGAAACUGUUGCCUUUUUCUUCAGAAAAU
rnacentral:misc_RNA from 1 species